rnacentral:rRNA from 1 species
AUACGGAGGAUGCAAGCGUUAUCCGGAUUUAUUGGGUUUAAAGGGUGCGUAGGCGGUUUGUCAAGUCAGCGGUGAAACGCAAGGGCUUAACCCUUGACCUGCCGUUGAAACUGGCGGACUUGAAUGCGGAUGCUGUGGGAGGAAUGUGUGGUGUAGCGGUGAAACGCAUAGAUAUCACACAGAACACCGACUGCGAAGGCAUCUCACAAAUCCGUGAUUGACGCUGAGGCACGAAAGUGUGGGGAUCAAACAGGAUUAGAUACCCUGGUAGUCCACACUGUAAACGAUGAUGACUCGCUGUCGGCGAUAUACAGUCGGUGGCCAAGCGAAAGCGAUAAGUCAUCCACCUGGGGAGUACGACCGCAAGGUUGAAACUCAAAUGAAUUGACGGGG